CGCGGCCUAUCAGCUUGUUGGUGAGGUAAUGGCUCACCAAGGCUUCGACGGGUAGCCGGCCUGAGAGGGCGACCGGCCACGCUGGGACUGAGAUACGGCCCAGACUCCUACGGGAGGCAGCAGUGGGGAAUAUUGCACAAUGGGCGCAAGCCUGAUGCAGCAACGCCGCGUGCGGGAUGACGGCCUUCGGGUUGUAAACCGCUUUCAGUAGGGACGAAGCUAACGUGACGGUACCUACAGAAGAAGGACCGGCUAACUACGUGCCAGCAGCCGCGGUGAUACGUAGGGUCCGAGCGUUGUCCGGAAUUAUUGGGCGUAAAGGGCUUGUAGGCGGUCCGUCGCGUCAGGAGUGAAAACUCGGGGCUUAACCCCGAGCCUGCUUUUGAUACGGGCGGACUAGAGGGAUGCAGGGGAGAACGGAAUUCCUGGUGGAGCGGUGGAAUGCGCAGAUAUCAGGAGGAACACCGGUGGCGAAGGCGGUUCUCUGGGCAUCACCUGACGCUGAGAAGCGAAAGCGUGGGGAGCAAACAGGCUUAGAUACCCUGGUAGUCCACGCCGUAAACGGUGGGCACUAGGUGUGGGGGACAUUCCACGUUCUCCGUGCCGAAGCUAACGCAUUAAGUGCCCCGCCUGGGGAGUACGG
rnacentral:rRNA from 1 species